AACCUGGUUGAUCCUGCCAGUAGUCAUAUGCUUGUUUCAAAGAUUAAGCCAUGCAUGUCUAAGUACCUGCCGACCUAAGGUGAAACCGCGAAUGGCUCAUUAAAUCAGUCUUAAUUUACGGGAUGUUGGAAAAUCCUUACUCGGAUAACUGUGGUAAUUCUAGAGCUAAUACGUGCAAUUCGUCUCCGACCUCGAGGACGAUUCGUUCCUCGACGGGAAGGGCGCAUUUAUUAGACCAAAACCGGGUCGUGGACGUUAACGCGUUCCUAUCGGAAAAGUCUUUUUUAAGAUUCUACGUAGCGUACGCGGUCCACGCCUUUUACGGUAACUUGGUGAUUCUGGAUAACUAUUGGCCGAGCGCUGAGGUCUUAGCACCGGCGCCGUAUCCUUCGAGUGUCUGCCUUAUCAGCUCUCGAUUGUAGGAUAUUUGCCUACAAUGGCUGUAACGGGUAACGGGGAAUCAGGGUUCGAUUCCGGAGAGGGAGCCUGAGAAACGGCUACCACAUCUAAGGAAGGCAGCAGGCGCGCAAAUUACCCAAUUCCGGCACGGAGAGGUAGUGACGAAAAAUAACGAUACGGGGACUCUUCUGAGCCUCCGUAAUCGGAAUGAGUUCGCUGUAAACACGCGGGCGAGGAUCCAUUGGAGGGCAAGUCUGGUGCCAGCAGCUGCGGUAACUCCAGCUCCAAUAGCGUAUACUAAAGUUGCUGCGGUUAAAAAGCUCGUAGUUGGAUUUCUAAUGCGGGCCGGGAGGCCCUCGUCUAGAGGCGCGCCCUCGUCCCCCGCUCUCUCGGUCCGCGUCGUGGUCUUCGGUUAAAGGUCGUUCGAAAUCCCCCACUAGCUCCCUUUCCCUCUCGCAGGGUUAGGAGCAGAGGGCGGUCAUUCUCGUUCGUCCUCGAAUUCGUCGUCGUGGUCUCGGAAGCGCGGUGGGUUCGGGUAAGCGCGCUGGACGGGUCUAUGCUCUCGGUUCCGCGUUGCUUAUGCCGCCGGCUGUCACGGGGUGCUCUUCACCGAGUGUCUCGCGGAGCCGGCAAAGUUCACUUUGAAUAAAGUAGAGUGCUCAAAGCAAGCAAUGAAAUUUUUUGAACACGCCUGGAUGGUAGCGCAUUGAAUGAUGGAACAGGACCUCGGUUCUGCCUUUUUUCAAGCCCGGUUUUUUUGAUACCGAGGUAAUGAUUAACGGGAACGGACGGGGGCAUUAGUAUUGCGGGGCGAGAGGUGAAAUUCUUGGACCCUCGUAAGACUAACUACUGCGAAAGCAUUUGCCAAGAAUGUUUUCAUUAAUCAAGAACGAAAGUUAGAGGAUCGAAGGCGAUCAGAUACCGCCGUAGUUCUAACCGUAAACGAUACCAACCUGCGAUCCGCCGUCGUCAUUCCCACGACACGGCGGGAAGUACCCGGGAAACCAGAGUUUUUGGGUUCCGGGGGAAGUAUGGUUGCAAAGCUGAAACUUAAAGGAAUUGACGGAAGGGCACCACAAGGAGUGGAGCCUGCGGCUUAAUUUGACUCAACACGGGAAAACUCACCAGGUCCGGACACCGAAAGGAUUGACAGAUUGAGAGCUCUUUCUCGAUACGCGUGGAUGGUGGUGCAUGGCCGUUCUUAGUUGGUGAAGCGAUUUGUCUGGUUGAUUCCGAUAACGAACGAGACUCUUACGUACUAAUUAGUCGGCGGAUCGUUUCCCCGAGAGGGGCUUUAAUCCGUCGUCGGGCGUUCGGUCGGGGACGGCCGUUUUUCAGCAUCUCGUCUUGCGUGGCGUCGUUCCCGGGCGUCUUCUCUUCUUGUAGGAGGGGGCGUUCGGGGUCGAAGCGGCGUUUUCGCGGGCGAAUCCGGUGGCGGCCUACUCGUCCAGCCCGCGGCGGUGGAGCUCAGCGAGGGGGUGUCCGUCGUGUUCAAAUCUUCUUAGAGGUAUCGGCAGUGUCUAGCUGCAAGAAAAAGAGCGAUAACAGGUCUGUGAUGCCCUUAGAUGUCCUGGGCCGCACGCGCGCUACAAUGUAGGGAUCAACGCGUUUUUCCCCUCCGAAAGGAGCGGGUAAUCGGUUGAAACCCCUACUCGGUUGGGAUUGGGGAUUGGAAGUGUUUCCCAUGAACGAGGAAUUCCUAGUAAGCGCGAGUCAUUAGCUCGCGCUGAAUGCGUCCCUGCCCUUUGUACACACCGCCCGUCGCUACUACCGAUGGAAUGAUUCAGUGAGGGCAUCGGACUGGCGCCUCCGGUUAGCCGUCGAUCGCAUCAAACUUCGUCGUCGCCUUCGCGGCUUCGGCGGGGGCGGUCUCCGGCACCCUUGGCUCGACGGAAAGAUGUCCGAACUGGAUUAUUUAGAGGAAGUAAAAGUCGUAACAAGGUUUCCGUAGGUGAACCUGCGGAAGGAUCA
rnacentral:rRNA from 1 species